UACGGGGGGGGCAAGCGUUGUUCGGAAUUACUGGGCGUAAAGGGCUCGUAGGCGGCCAACUAAGUCAGACGUGAAAUCCCCAGGCUCAACCUGGGAACUGCGUCUGAUACUGGAUGGCUUGAAUCCGGGAGAGGGAUGCAGAAUUCCAGGUGUAGCGGUGAAAUGCGUAGAUAUCUGGGAGAACACCGGUGCGAAGGCGGCAUCCUGGACCGACACUGACGCUGAGGAGCGAAAGCCAGGGGAGCAAACGGGG
rnacentral:rRNA from 1 species